rnacentral:rRNA from 1 species
CCUACGGGUGGCAGCAGUCGAGAAUAUUUCACAAUGGGGGAAACCCUGAUGGUGCGAUGCCGCGUGGAGGAAUGAAGGUCUUCGGAUUGUAAACCCCUGUCAUGUGGGGGCAAAUUACAAAGAUAGUAACACAAGCGGAAGAGACGGCUAACUCUGUGACAGCAGCCGCGGUAAUACAGAGGUCUCACGCGUUGUUCGGAAGUACUGGGCGUAAAGCGUGCGUAGGCGGUUUCGUAAGUCGGAUGUGAAAGGCGCGGGCUCAACCCGGGGACGGCACCUGAUACCGCGGAUCUAGAGUGAUGGAGAGGGAGGCGGAAUUCUCGGUGUAGCAGUGAAAUGCGUAGAGAUCGAGAGGAACACUCGUGGCGAAGGCGGCUUCCUGGACAAUAACUGACGCUGAGGCACGAAGGCCAGGGGAGCGAAAAGGAUUAGAUACCCUUGUAGUC